CAGACCCUUGGCUCUUAUUGUUCUUGCUGGUGUGGUAUGUUCACGGCUGAAAAGAUGGUCAGAAGGGGAAAGGAGGAAGUGAGAAGAAAGAAACAGGGAAAUGACAGAGUGUUGCUCAGUUACCCAGGCUGGAGUGCAAUGGCAUGAUCUUGGCUCACUGCAGCCUCCACCUCCUGGGUUCAAGCGGUUCUCGUGCCUCAGUCUCCCAAGUAGCUGGGAUUACAGCAGGCUGAGGAAUUACCAAGGAGGCAGGAGGUGGAGCAAAACACACCAAGCCUGGUGCCAAUCAUUGACAAUAUUAUGACCCUGCAUGUGAUGGAUCAGCUGACACCAUCCAGAUCGGUAAACUGGUUCAUCUGAUCUUGUGCCCUCCACCCAGGAACUGACUCAGCGCAAGAAGACAGCUUCGACUCCUUGUGAUUUCAUCCCUAACCAAUCAGCACUCCUGGCUCACUGGCUUCCCCCAACCCACCAAAUUGUCCUUAAAAACUCUGCUCUCCAAACGCUGGGGGAGACUGAUUUGAGUAAUAAUAAAACCCUGGUCUCCUGCA
rnacentral:lncRNA from 10 species